AUUGAACGCUGGCGGCAGGCCUAACACAUGCAAGUCGAACGGUAACAGGAAACAGCUUGCUGUUUCGCUGACGAGUGGCGGACGGGUGAGUAAUGUCUGGGAAACUGCCUGAUGGAGGGGGAUAACUACUGGAAACGGUAGCUAAUACCGCAUAACGUCGCAAGACCAAAGAGGGGGACCUUCGGGCCUCUUGCCAUCGGAUGUGCCCAGGUGGGAUUAGCUAGUAGGUGGGGUAACGGCUCACCUAGGCGACGAUCCCUAGCUGGUCUGAGAGGAUGACCAGCCACACUGGAAGUGAGACACGGUCCAGACUCCUACGGGAGGCAGCAGUGGGGAAUAUUGCACAGUGGGCGCAAGCCUGAUGCAGCCAUGCCGCGUGUAUGAAGAAGGCCUUCGGGUUGUAAAGUACUUUCUGCGGGGAUGAAGGGAGUAAAGUUAAUACCUUUGCUCAUUGACGUUACCCGCAGAAGAAGCACCGGCUAACUCCGUG
rnacentral:rRNA from 1 species